rnacentral:ncRNA from 1 species
AAGGUAGAGGUUGCGCUACUGAUGAGUAGGCUGAUGGAUGCAGGCAAGAGCAAGGGAAGUUAGCUAAAAGGCAUUGGCGCCGAAAGAAUGGCUGUGCAAAGGCUGUUCUUGGGCAUAUAUCGAAUAGGUAUAUGACUGUCAUCUGUUCACAGAUGGGGAGCUACUAA